GAGAAGUCUGACGGAGCAACGCCGCGUGAACUGAUGAAGGCCUUCGGGUCGUAAAGUUCUUGUUGUUAGGGAAGAACAAGUGCUAGAGUAACUGCUAGCACCUUGACGGUACCUAACCAGAAAGCCACGGCUAACUACGUGCCAGCAGCCGCGGUAAUACGUAGGUGGCAAGCGUUGUCCGGAAUUAUUGGGCGUAAAGCGCGCGCAGGCGGUUUCUUAAGUCUGAUGUGAAAGCCCACGGCUCAACCGUGGAGGGUCAUUGGAAACUGGGAAACUUGAGUGCAGAAGAGGAGAGUGGAAUUCCACGUGUAGCGGUGAAAUGCGUAGAGAUGUGGAGGAACACCAGUGGCGAAGGCGACUCUCUGGUCUGUAACUGACGCUGAGGCGCGAAAGCGUGGGGAGCGAACAGGAUUAGAUACCCUGGUAGUCCACGCCGUAAACGAUGAGUGCUAAGUGUUAGAGGGUUUCCGCCCUUUAGUGCUGCAGCAAACGCAUUAAGCACUCCGCCUGGGGAGUACGGUCGCAAGACUGAAACUCAAAGGAAUUGACGGGGGCCCGCACAAGCGGUGGAGCAUGUGGUUUAAUUCGAAGCAACGCGAAUAACCUUACCAGGUCUUGACAUCCUUCGCUACUUCUAGAGAUAGAAGGUUCCCCUUCGG
rnacentral:rRNA from 1 species